AAGUGAUUGUGUUCGAUUAUCGUUUUUUAUAUACAUAAACACGGAUCUGAUGGUACAAAGUCGCAUUACAAACACAAAAAAAUCAUGGAUGUUAUAGGAAUACGUUUAGUAAAAGUUUACGUUAUUAUAGCAGCUUAUUUUCAUUUUGAAUCAUGUUGUUUUGAAACAUCGGGAAGUUUGUUGAAAGAUCCUCGUCAUUGGCAACACUGUACGAGACGGGACUCAGAUAUUGUUUGUAGUAUUAUACCAGAAGAUUUACCGGCGGGUACAAAAACGGUCCAUCUUAGAAACGUAAGCGAUGCCUAUUUCCCUGACAGGACAUUGCGAAAAGGAUUAUUUUUAACAAAAAUUGGGGACAAGUUACAAACCUAGAAUUUUCUGUCGACAGUGACUGGCUGGAUAAACACGAAACUGUGCAAUUCUUUGAUUCCUCGUGUUUUGCAGGAUUGACAAAUCUGGAAGUAUUACGUAUAGAUAUCUCAACUAUUGUUGACUUUAAACCACAAACUUUUACCGGGCUCACUAAUUUAAAACUUCUAGACUUAUGUGGCUGUCACAGAUGUGAUUUAGAUAAUCUUGUGAAUUCAUUAAACCAGCCUGGUUUUGUACCAAAUCUGAAAAGCCUGAACAUAUCACGCCUGAACAGUUAUCGUGAAGGAUUAAAACUUACUAAUAAGUUUUUCAAAUUGAUUUUCGACAAGCAAAUAAAGGUACUAGAUAUUAGUUCAACACAAAUUCUUUUUAUGAAUAUGUCAGCAUUUUUUAAAAAAUGCCAUUCCUUGGAAUAUUUCAAUAUCUCAAGAGUGAAGUUAAAUUCUUUCACAUACCAGUUUGAUCAGUUAUGUCCAAAUUUAAAAAUUGUGGAUGCCAGUUACAUUACUCAACCUUCGUAUGUUAUCCCAGAUCAUGGGCCCGCUUGUAUUGUAUCAUACAAAACCAUUCCGUUUGAUUUUAACUGGGUAUUUGUCAAGAAUUUUCGAAGCGUAGAGUAUAUAGACCUGUCUGCUUUGAAGACUAAACGGACAAAAUAUUCAUUGGAGAACGUAACAGUUUAUCUGUUCGGAGCCAGUGAAUUUAAUAGCGAGCUCGAAGAGCAGGCCAGAAGGGCCUGCUCGAGAAUCGAGCUUUACGGUAACGCAAGUAUACUUCCACACUUGGUGAUGGAUUUGAAAAGUUUCGUCGGAAGUUCUUAAAAAGCGCACCCUAACGGAUAGGUGCUCACAGGAAGUACUUCUUUCGGGAGUGAAUACAGAACUUCUUCAAUUGCUAAAAAAAUAUUCAUCACUUAAUAAUAAUGAAAGAAUGCUUUCCAGUUGUUUGAAAAAAAUAUUUUUUUCAUUUAAAAGAUCAAGCAUCGGCCAGAAAAUGGUAAAAAUGUCAUUAAUAAGCAGAAAGAAUCGGGAACGCGGUAAUGACGUCACCGUGACACCGGCUUCCCAUAAUUUUUGCAACGUAUGAUAUUCACUGUUACAGGUAUGGUGACACUAAAUGUAGACUUUUUCAAGUGAAUGGGUUCUCCUGAAUUCUUGUGAGUAGGGAAUAGUUUCUGUGUGACAAAUAAAUGAUGCAUAUAUUUUUAGCUAAAUCCGAUUUCUUUGAGCUCGUUUUGAGGCUUUGCCUUAUUUCAUAUUAUGAGAGUUUCUGAUCUUACGUGAAAAUCAAUUAGACAGACUUAAUUUGAAACUUAUUAUACCGAACUUUAGAGUUGUGAAGAUUGAUUUGUCCGGAUGUAAUAGGGAAUCAAUCGAAUCCCACUACGGUAACAUACGAGGGUAUCCAAACAACACAUACUAUCCAAAUAAAAAAGUAUGGAGUUCCGGUUCAGACCAUGGGCGUGCGACGACCCCGAUGAAAUUCGGGAUAUCACGGUCUUCGUUAAUGUUAAUAAGCGUCCGUCAGAUCAGUAGGCGAAACGCAAUAUCCGCACAAUAAGAUGUCUGCGACUCGAAAGAAUAUAUUUAAAGUAAGCUGUUAAUUUUGUUGCGUCAGAAGCUAAUCAGCCGGUAACGUGACUACACUGAUAUAAUUUGUCAUACAAACAUGCUUUGUUCAAUACUGAGUAGCAUUUUUAAACGGCGACAUUUUAAACAUUUUUAUAUUUAGCGUGAGAGUGGAUGCACGUUACACUGGCGCCGACAUUUUGAAAAUUUGAGGAAACAAAAACAUUCUCCAACGAGUUCUUUAGCUCGGGGAAUGAGAAUAGAUUCACCUUAUUGUCGCUUUUCAGAUCGUAUUUAAUUCCUUUCCGGUACUUAAGUUUCUUUGAACUUCUUUGUUACUAUGCCUAUAUUGAAUUUUUAAAAUUAAGAAAUCCGUGAUUUUACUUGCAGGCAUGACUGAUUAAUGGAAUUAUUUUACUUUUAUAUAGAAUAUGGACGGCACUCCAUUACAGCAUGUGCAUGGUUGGACCUGUUGACAUUUUUAGAAACGCAUCUUGGUCUAUUAUACAGAUUAUUGUUGUACUGCUCCAAAGUGCUUGUUCACAGACUGAAACCACUUGCUUGCGGCUCAUAAGGUUCACUUCUUGAGAGCAGGCAGCUACAAAAUGGAAGAUCAACAAAUCCAGUAUACUUGAAAAGCAAGAAAGAAACACCAGAAAAUAUAAAAAGACAGAAGAACAAGGGAACUUUAAUAAAAAAAAAACUUUUAAGGAUAGGAAUUCAGGAUUUAUUUAGAAACUAAAUAUAUUUUGAGAACAGCAGUGUUUGACUAAGCUCUGUUACUUUAAGAGAUAAUGUAUUAUCACAUUGGUUUCGUUAUUGUCGAACCCGCUUGCGGAAGCGAAGACAUAGUUGUCCAAAUGUCUAUUCGGUGUAUGUGCGUGCGUCCGUCCGGAUUUGUUUGUCUGGACCAUAAUUUGGACAUGCAUGGAGCAAUCUUGUUUAUAUAUGGUAUGAAUGUUAACAUCAGUGAGACGGAGUGUCAUGCGCAAGCCCCAGGUUCCUAUCUCAAAGGUCAAGAUCACACUUACAGGUCAAAGGUCAAAUUCAAAAAUGACUUUGUCCGGAGCAUUUCUCUUCAUGCAUGGAGGGAUUUUGAUGUAACUUGGCACAAUUGUUCACCAUGAGAUGGAGUGUCAUGCGCAAGAACCAGAUCCCUAGGUCUA